AGGUGAAAUUGGAGGAAUCAACUCCAAAAGUCUUCUACAAGGAUUAGAAACCCGGUUGAGCGUCUUGCAGAGUUUUAGUUGCUAAGGAUGAGCUAUUUACGUGGUGAGGAUGUGCGAAGUUGUUGAAAUUGAGUGCUAUAAAUAGAUGGCGAUUCUGAAGAAGAAAGGCAACAUCAAUUGGCCCCGGAUCAAUUCCGGGGCGGCGUGGAGAUUUUUUUUUUUUUUUUUUUUUUACAGUAACAAAUUGCAGCGACGACGACGACUUCCCCAUCCGGCUUCGACUUUGUUCUGAAUUUCUGGGCAGCAACACCGUUCGUGGGCAGCAAGUUCUGUGUUAGGCAGCAGUGGCAUAAGAAUUUCCUCGUCUUUCUUUAAUUUGCUAUCUUUGUUUCAUUGGAUUUGCCAAGCAUUACAUAUUUCAAUUGCUAGUUGAUUACGACAGUGAAUGAUUUUAUUUGUGUGGAGUUAAUCUUUGAAAUGGGUUGGUACUUUCAUCAGCCUAGGAACAUGAACGAUUUGUUGUGAAACUUCUACAUUAGUUUUAGUUCUAAUUUUGCCAAUUAAUUUUGUUGUUAUCCUA